rnacentral:rRNA from 1 species
AUGGUGCAACCUUCUGGCUGCCCUCGGCGAUGCUCCCCGCCACCACUCCGCCUCGUCCCGGUGAGUGGUCUGGCACCGUUGCGUCCACAGUCCAACACCGCCAGCCGAGGCCAUUCACCGUUGCCUCGUUGUGAGUUCGCUAGCAAGAACAAGCUUGACCACCUACAGUCCCCGGUGGUCGCCUUGGCCGCCCUCGACCACGAGCUCAUCCACCAUGGUUACUGGCAGCCGUCGAAGUGGAGCGCGGACAACAGUCCAAGUAGAAUCGUGGUCACCAUCUUUACCACGUGCUGCCCGUCCAAGUCGAGCACACACAACAGUCCAGGAACUUUGCUUGCAACACCUGGACAGGUCAAAAAUUGUGGCACGUUCAGUCCAAAAAAAUGUGGAGAUGAAGUAAAUUUGAAACUUUGCAGGGGAAGGAAACCUGUGAUGUGUAGCUUUUCUUGCUUGUUUUUAACUUCAUGGCAAAGAGCUUUUGCUCAACAGUUGUAUGAACUUAUGCAUGACCAUGGAAGUAGAAGAAAACAAACAUCAAGUCUAGCUGGUGGAUGUGGAGGUGAUUUAUGUAUGUAA